GCAAGGAAUCUUGCGCAAUGGGCGAAAGCCUGACGCAGCAACGCCGCGUGGGGGAUGAAGGCCUUCGGGUCGUAAACCCCUUUUGCUGGGGAAGUAACUGACGGUACCCAGCGAAUAAGCCACGGCUAACUACGUGCCAGCAGCCGCGGUAAUACGUAGGUGGCAAGCGUUGUCCGGAUUUACUGGGCGUAAAGCGCACGCAGGUGGCCUAUCAAGUCUGGGGUGAAAUCUCCUGGCUCAACCAGGAGAGGUCUCUGGAUACUGGUAGGCUUGAGGGCAGCAGAGGAGAGCAGAAUUCCCGGUGUAGCGGUGAUAUGCGUAGAUAUCGGGAGGAAUACCAGUGGCGAAGGCGGCUCUCUGGGCUGUCCCUGACGCUGAGGUGCGAAAGCGUGGGGAGCAAACCGGAUUAGAUACCCUAGUAGUCC
rnacentral:rRNA from 1 species